AUCCUGCUGACUUACCCUGCUCGGGGCUGCUGUCCUUUAAGCAACACAAAACGCAGCCAUUUCCUCAAACCCUAACUUCAUCGCUGAUCUAGAUGUUUCUCAACCUAACAGCUUAUCCUGGGUUUCACGAAGCACCGGGCUAACUAGCCAUAUUGAACUGUGGAGUGAGCCUGUGGAGGAGCUCCCCUCCCGCUAGCCUCCUCCUCACUCUCCCCUCUGUGUGCCCUGCUGCAUCCUGCCUAGAUGCAAGAGCAGCUCGCCGGAGGCUUCCACCUUGGCUCCCAGGGGGACAUCCUGCAAAAUGAAUCAGCAGCCAUCCUGAGCAGGCUGAUUAAAAUGAAAAUGGCAAGGCACAUGUCUGGGCGGAACUGGAGCUCAGCUUUGUUGCCUGUCUGACAAGCAAGCUCAAUAUAGCUCUUGCUAAUAAUGGCUUACUGCCUUUCGGUUUUUAAAAAGGCUGAUGCACUGAUGUUUUGUCCCUGGAGUCCACUGCACAUCUUCACUCAACACCCCACUACUGUGUGGCCUUCAACCUCAUCUGAUCAGCAAUAACUGCCCUGUCUCUAGUCGGGUCCGAGGCACCGGGAUCCUUCCCUCCCACCUCUGCCUGUCUACACAGCUGGAGAGGCCAGCAUACACAUGACUUAGAGGAAAGAAAGAGAAGGUGAAGGAAGCAUGAUGCCGUGGAGCAAGAGCACAGAGCUGCUCCAGCCUGUGUUCAGCAACCGCGAUGGUCAACAUACAGCAGCUACUACAACUGCUGUUCAAGGGAAUCCAGGCUGCAUCAUGAGCCACCGGCAGGAUUUGGCAUGGAAGACGCAAGAGUACUCAGGACACAGGCAGACUGCUCUUGAUCAAAAUAUCACACAAAUGGCUCCUAGCCCGGCUCCUGACAGAAUCUUUGUUCCCUUCUGAAACUUCUUGGAUAGAUUCUUCUCUCACAGAAUCUCCUGUCACCCAGCCCAAGGAGUCUGAAGGAUCAGGCAUAUAAAAAAGAAGAUAUAUUCAACACUGUCAGAAGCUAUUCCUUGAACCCCUAGUGCUGAACUGUUGGAUUAGAAGUCAGAGGCAAGCAGUAUUUUAGGAGAAUUCACAGAUGCAAUGUCACCACACGUGAAGUAGAAGAAUACAGGUGUGGCCUCGAGGGGAGCACCAAGGAUGAGGCAAGGGAAGAAGAAGGUGACUGCAACCUAGACAGUGUCACUCCAUUUGAGACCUGGCCUUCCUCUCCGAGCAGAACCCCCCAGCUGUGCCUCCAGGGUUGGAGUUUAGUCACCAACAGUUGAUGCACGUUCUAUGUCAUCACACCUCCUAGAAUGAAGUUUACUUUAUGUGUUUCAUGCUGUGACACAUUUCCUGUGAGCCAGGGAGUUCUACGCUUCUGCACACAGCAAAGAGCCUGGUACUGAGCAUAAAAAAGUGCCCAGAAGAUUCUGCCAUGGGAACGGAUAAUCAGAAUUUGAGAAGCAUUUUGGGUGUCUUUUGGAGCUCUGAAAAACAAGGUUAUUUGAAUGGCUGAGACCCUCAAGAUCCGACAGUCAGGAAUUUACCUGCUGCCACAUCCGCGCUCUGCUUGGACCACACUUCAGGCUAAACUUAAAUUAUCUUCUUGUGGCAUACUCUGGAAGGCACUCGCCAUUUGCUGCAUUGUCCCCACAGGAUAACGUAUUCCUAAACAUCAGGAUGACAGCCUCCAAGCUGACUUAUGUGCCAUGACGCAGUGUUGCAGGGCUCCUUCCCCAUGAUUUCUGGCUGCAUGUGUGCACUUCUAUGAGCCAUAAGCCAGGUGUCUAAUUGGAGCUCUCUUCCGAUUAGCUGCACAAACUGGAGCAAGUGCCUUCAUUCCUCAGUUUUUCUUGUCUACAGAAAUUGAAGUUUGUAUCACGUGGUGUCUGACAUUCUCACCAGCAAGACCAUUACAUCCUUUCAAAAGGUAAUAAACCAUUUUAACAGAAUUAGAAAUUACCUCAUUAACCCUUGAUUUCACAGAACUUACUAGGUUAUUUUAGAAGUACAGAAGUCUGUAAAAGGACUAUGGAGAGUGGGCCACAAACAAGUACUUGUUGGGUCCACCCAAACUCAUCUAACUUCCAUGGAGUUCUCAAAGAGGUGAAGGAGUGGGUCUUUGUAUAAUUCAAUGGCUAAUGAGUAACCUCUUUGAUAUGUUAUUUCAUUUCCUUUGAAUAUAUAUACCCAAUAAUAGGAUUGAUGGAUCAUUGGCAGCACAGACCACAAAAGUAAAAAUAUACAAAUGGAAUUAUGCCAGACUAAGAUGAUUCUAUCCAGCAAAGGCAGCAGUCAAUAGAGUUAGGAGACAACUUAUAGAACUAGAGAACAUAUGUGCAAACUGUUACUCCAAGGGGUUCAAAUACAGACAAUAUGAAAGUGCAACAUGUUAUCCAAUGAGAACGAAUAAAGAUCUGAGUAGAUGUAAAUCAGAAGACAUCCACAUGUUCAACAUGCCUCAUCACCAGGGAACUACAAGUCAAAAGGAUCAUGGAAUAUCACCUCACCCCAGUCAAGGUGGCUGUCACCCAAAAAUAAAAACAACAAAUGCUGAUACAGGUGUGGAGAAAAGGAAGCUUUAAUACAGAGUUGGGGCAAUGGAAGUCAGUGCAGUCCAGGCAGAAAGCUAUGUGGAUUGCUUUAAAAUUAAAAAUAGAACUAUCAAGGGGGAGAGAAGUAAAUUGAAAACCCCAAACAAUGGCUUACAGUUACAUACUUUAUGUCACUCUGCAAAUGCUCUGGAACAACAACAACAAAAAAAAAUAAUAAUCUAUGAACUCGGCAGCCAUAGCUUAACAAUGCAGUCGGUGGGCAAGGGGAGAGGAUACUCAGCUCCCAUGGAGACAAAAGUGUAUCCUUAGUACAUAAUAAUUUCCUAGAAUCCCAGGCUUUUACAAGUUACCAAUUUGCAAUGUAAUUAUCUUCUUGUCUGGGCCUCUCAUGUGCUAGGCAAGCACUCCAACACUGAGAUGCAUUCCUAGCCUUCUUUGUACUGUUUUACUUUGCAACAGAGUCUCAAUAAGUUGCCUAGGCUGGUCUUGAACUCUUUCUAUAGGCCAGGCAGGCUUUGAACUUGCAAUUCUCCUGCCUCGGCCUCCUGAGUAGCUGGGAUAACAGACCUGAGUCAUUUGUCCUAGCUGCAUUUAAUAAUUUAAAAAAUAAAACAUUACUCCCAUGGGUUACCAUAGAAAGGUUUCAGGAAAUUAAUGGUGAAGAUAAUCCAGGCAAGCUCCCCUGGAGAGUUCAUGACAGGAGAGGCAAAUGCCAUCCAGUGGGAAUACAUGCCCAACAGAUGGGUUUCACUCCCUUCCAGGCCUUCCUUACUGUCUUUCCUCCUCAGCACCCCAUUUCCAUCUGCACUUCAGGCUUAUGUCAGACAAGAUACAGGAAGAAGUUGCUGUGAUGAACCACUGUAGGAGACUUCUGCAUGACGCAGCUAGUACAGACCCAUAAGAACCACCGGCCUCAGAGCUGUCUUAACUGCAGAUGACAAAAGCAGCCCUCUCUCCGACUGGCUUCUAAGACACACUUUGCGCUUGUGUGCUCAUAAAGCACCCUGGGUUCUGCAGACUUGUGGUACAAAGUGCUGCUGUCUGAAUCUGGAUUAUUUGUACUUAACUUGAUAUGCUCUGGGUUCAGCAUGUUAACCAGACACAAGGUAGAAUGGAGGGGUCUGAAUGGAAGGAGGCUGGCAAACAGGUACAAAACACAACUGAAUAGGAGUGAUGAGUUCUGGUAUUCUUCUGUGUUCCAGGAUACUCAGAAUUAAUAGCAGCAUACCAUCCACUCCAAAAUAACUGGAAGAGAACUUUCUUGGUAAUAAAAUAUAUCCCAAUUAAUUCUACUAUGGUUUGUACAUGCAGUCUAUAAAAUCCUGGUCAUAUAAAAUAUGGUGAGUCCCAAUUAAUAACUCCAUAGAUAGUGUGUUUUACUAAAUAUUUCAUAACUGCUUAAAAUUAUGAGUAUUCUACAAUAACGUAUGUUGUGUUUUUAGACACCUAUUAAUAUUGGCUCAGACUGCUGUAACAACAUGCACAUACUGGAUGUCUUAACAACACACAUCUAUUCCUCACAGCUCUGGAGGGAGGCAGUAAACUCAUGAUCUGUGCAGACAUAUCUGGGAUCUUUCGUGGUCUCACACAGAGAGGGAUGCAGCUUUGUGGGGCCUUUGAGGUCUCCCUUAAUCCUUAUCACCCCUUAAGGGCUCUGUCUCUAAUGCUUGCCCAUCAGGGACUCAAAAUACUAAUUCGGGGGAUAUAUAAACAUUCAUUCUCUACAGUUAAAAAAAAAUGACUAUUUAAUCCAUUAAGAAAAGUAUGCUUGGUGACCCUAUGAUUGUGAAAUUGCCAGCUUUUCCCUUUCAAUCCUUUUCUCCAUGUUGGGUAACUGCCUUGGGAGUAUUCCUGAUGUUACAGGCCUGUAUUUCACAGUCCACAUUACUUUUAGAUAUUUUCAAUCAUCACUUUCUCAGGUAUUUCCUCUGUCCCUGGAUUGCUACCUACUUUUUCUGUUGCUCCAGGCACAUGCCUUUUGACCUGUGAACUCUGUCGUACAGCCCCAGGGUCUUUUGAUUGCUCAUUGUCCUCCCUUGUCCCCCUGGCCCUCGGGGUGACUCAAGCCACGUACCUUCAAGGGCAAGGGGUCCUCCCUCAGCACUGUGAGGUCCUCUGAGGAGUCCAUUCUCAGCAUCCAUUUAGAGUCCUUUCAUGUCUAGGGUUUUAUUUUAGUGGUUUUUUUUUUCAUCAUUUCUGUCUCUGCUAAAUUUUUACCAUCUGACCUUGCACAGCAUCCACCAUUUAGACACAAGACGCACAGAACAUGCCCACUCAUAUCCAUUCUCCCAAUGCCCAAUCCUGCCGUGCAUCUGUGUACUUCUCACCAUUAUUUGUCUGUUUGCCGUUUUGCAGAUUUUCUUCUCAAUUUCUUUUCUUGCUGUAUGUUCUGGUUGAAUGUCCCCUGAGCCUGAGGUAGUUGUUUUGCCUGGAUGUGGACUGCCCUUCCUUCUGCUGUUAGUUUGGGAUUUGACUCCAUCCCACUGGCAGAGAUUCAAGGAUUUGUUGGGACAGUGAUCAGUGAAUCAAAGACAGUGUCACACCUGAGAUCCCAAACCAGAUGCAUUUUCUACUUUUCGUUGCUCCUGCUCCAUGUCUUACUAGGAA